GAUGAAGAACGUAGCGAAAUGCGAUAAGUAGUGUGAAUUGCAGACUUUAGUGAAUCAUCGAAUCUUUGAACGCACCUUGCGCCCUUUGGACUUCUGAAGGGCACGCCUGUUUGAGUAUCAUGAACACCUCAACUCCUUAUGGUCUUCCAUGAUGAGCUUGGACUUUGGGGGUUUUGCUGGCCUACAGUCAGCUCCUCUAAAAUAAAUCAGCUUACCGGUGUUUGGUGGGUAUCAUGGGUGUGAUAACUAUCUACGCUCGUGGUUUUCCACCAGGUAACCUUCAGCAGUGGAGGUUCACUGGAGCUCAUAGAUGUCUCUCCUCAGCGAGGACAGCCCUUUGAAUGUUUGAUCUCAAAUCAGGUAGGACUACCCGCUGAACUUAAGCAUAUCAAUAAGCGGAGGA
rnacentral:misc_RNA from 1 species